rnacentral:rRNA from 1 species
AUACGUAGAUGGCAAGCGUUGUCCGGAUUUAUUGGGCGUAAAGCGAGCGCAGGCGGUUCUUUAAGUCUGAUGUGAAAGCCCACGGCUCAACCGUGGAAGGUCAUUGGAAACUGGUCGACUUGAGUGCAGAAGAGGGAAGUGGAAUUCCAUGUGUAGCGGUGAAAUGCGUAGAGAUAUGGAGGAACACCAGUGGCGAAGGCGGCUUGCUGGACGACAACUGACGCUGAGGCGCGAAAGCGUGGGGAGC